CUUCUCCAACUACCACCUCAUCAUCACUAUUGCUGUUACCACCAUUAGCAGCUCCAUUCAAGCUUAUCUCAUCCAUCAUUUCCAUAGGUGAUGUACUCACAGGGGCAUUACCAACGCUGUCAUCUUGGAAGGCAAACCAGUUGGAAUUUGUGAAUAGACUGCUCCCUUGGUCAUCACCAAGCCUCAGAGAAGAUAUAACAACUUCAGCAGACUCGUCAUCAAAGUAGACAUCCUCAUCAUCUCG
rnacentral:misc_RNA from 1 species